rnacentral:rRNA from 1 species
UACGUAGGGCGCAAGCGUUGUCCGGAAUUAUUGGGCGUAAAGAGCUCGUAGGCGGUUUGUCGCGUCUGCUGUGAAAUCCCGAGGCUCAACCUCGGGCUUGCAGUGGGUACGGGCAGACUAGAGUGCGGUAGGGGAGACUGGAAUUCCUGGUGUAGCGGUGGAAUGCGCAGAUAUCAGGAGGAACACCGAUGGCGAAGGCAGGUCUCUGGGCAUUAACUGACGCUGAGGAGCGAAAGCAUGGGGAGCGAACAGG